UACGUAGGGUGCGAGCGUUGUCCGGAAUUAUUGGGCGUAAAGAGCUUGUAGGCGGUUUGUCGCGUCUGCUGUGAAAUCUCAAGGCUCAACCUUGAGCUUGCAGUGGGUACGGGCAGACUAGAGUGUGGUAGGGGAGGCUGGAAUUCCUGGUGUAGCGGUGAAAUGCGCAGAUAUCAGGAGGAACACCGAUGGCGAAGGCAGGUCUCUGGGCCACUACUGACGCUGAGAAGCGAAAGCAUGGGGAGCGAACAGG
rnacentral:rRNA from 1 species